rnacentral:lncRNA from 1 species
CCGCGGCCCUGCGAAGAUGGCGGCGACAGCGGCCCCACUUUCCUGAAGCGGCUGCGAUGGAACCUCCCCCAGCUCCGGGGCCGGAGCGGCUCUUUGACUCGCACCGGCUCCCGAGUGACGGCUUCCUGCUGCUCGCGCUAUUGCUCUACGCGCCGGUCGGCCUCUGCCUCCUGGUUCUGCGACUCUUCCUCGGGCUCCACGUCUUCCUGGUCAGCUGUGCUCUUCCUGACAGCGUCCUCCGCAGGUUCGUGGUACGAACCAUGUGUGCGGUACUGGGGCUCGUGGCCCGACAGGAGGACUCCGGACUCCGGGAUCACCGCGUCAGGGUCCUUAUUUCCAACCAUGUAACACCUUUUGACCACAACAUAGUCAACCUUCUCACCACCUGUAGCACCGUGAGUGGGGGGCGAGGCCGAGAGCGCCACCGGGUGGCUCCCUAGGCCCAAGCUCAAGGCUCACCUUUACCCAUUGGGGUUUGCUUGGGGAAUACCGAGCCUUCUCCCUCGAGUCCCAUAAACGCCACCCUAUGUGUUACCUUUUUACUCUUUCUUCUCUUCUUUCUUUAUUUUUGACAUUUCCUUCCAUUCUUUUCUUUUUGCUUUUUCUCCCUGCUCUCAGCCUCUACUCAAUAGUCCCCCCAGCUUUGUAUGUUGGUCUCGGGGCUUCAUGGAGAUGGAUAGGCGGGUGGAGUUGGUGGAGUCACUCAAGAAAUUCUGUGCUUCCACGAGGCUUCCACCCACACCUUUGCUGCUCUUCCCCGAGGAAGAGGCCACCAAUGGCCGAGAAGGGCUCCUGCGUUUCAGUUCGUGGCCAUUUUCUAUCCAGGAUGUGGUACAACCU